rnacentral:rRNA from 1 species
UACAGAGGGUGCAAGCGUUGUUCGGAAUUAUUGGGCGUAAAGGGCGCGCAGGCGGCAGACCAAGUCAGGCGUGAAAGCCCCGGGCUAAACCUGGGAGGUGCGUCUGGGACUGGUAUGCUAGAGUUCGGGAGAGGAGAGUGGAAUUCCCAGUGUAGAGGUGAAAUUCGUAGAUAUUGGGAAGAACACCGGGUGGCGAAGGCGGCUCU